rnacentral:snRNA from 1 species
GUAUUUGAAAGAAUGCUGGUAGGUUGUGCGACAUCUGUCACCCCGUUGAUCACCAGCAUUGGUUCGGUUCGGCUGAUCUGGCUGGAUUGGUGCAUGUUCCCUUCCUCCCUCACCGCUGCAUGUGGGUCCCUUUGGAAGCAGCGGACUCAGUUGAAGAGUCAGAUCCUCCUGAACAGAGCGAGGCCGGUCUUGGUCAAGGUACAGGUAGCUGAGCUCCCCUGCUAGAGUCUCCAAAUAAGCUCUCAGGGUCCUUUUGUAGGGAGAAAGCAGGGUAGUCUAGGUUCCAAGACUCCAGACACAUGCAAAUGAAGUGCUACCUGCAGCAGUCUGCCUUUCU